rnacentral:rRNA from 1 species
CAGCCGCCGCGGUAAUACAGAGGGUGCGAGCGUUAAUCGGAUUUACUGGGCGUAAAGCGUGCGUAGGCGGCUUCUUAAGUCGGAUGUGAAAUCCCUGAGCUUAACUUAGGAAUUGCAUUCGAUACUGGGAAGCUAGAGUAUGGGAGAUGAUGGUAGAAUUCCAGGUGUAGCGGUGAAAUGCGUAGAGAUCUGGAGGAAUACCGAUGGCGAAGGCAGCCAUCUGGCCUAAUACUGACGCUGAGGUACGAAAGCAUGGGGAGCAAACAGGAUUAGAGACCCCCGUAGUCCCUGUCUCUUAUAC